rnacentral:rRNA from 1 species
GUGUCAGCCGCCGCGGUAAGACGUAGGGGGCAAGCGUUGUCCGGAAUUACUGGGCGUAAAGGGCGUGUAGGCGGUACGAUACGUAGCGGUUUUAAGCCUCCGGCUCACCCGGAGGAGGGCGGCUAAACGGUCGCACUGGAGGGCAGGAGAGGUGCAUGGAAUUCCUAGUGGAGCGGUGAAAUGCGUAGAGAUUAGGAAGAACACCAGUGGCGAAGGCGAUGCACUGGCCUGACCCUGACGCUGAGGCGCGACAGCGUGGGGAGCGAACGGGAUUAGAAACCCCCGUAGUCC